rnacentral:rRNA from 1 species
UUAUGUAAGGUAAAAACUGCUCUAUGAAUGGAAUUUUAAAUGGCCGCAGUAAAUUGACUGUGCUAAGGUAGCAUAAUAAAUUGGCCCUUAAUUGGGGUCUGGUAUGAACGGAUACAUAUGUAAUUACUGUCUCAUUUGUAUUUAUUUAAAUUUACUUAGUAGGUGAAAAUUCCUAUUAACAAAAAGCAGGACGAUAAGACCCUUAGAAUUAUUAAAUAAGUGAUAAACCAAAAUAUAUCAUACAUUUUUGUUGGGGCGACAUAUUCUCAUAUAACAUAAUACACAUUAUUUUUACAAGACUAUUAUAAUCCGUAAGAAUUAAUUACCUAAGGGAUAACAGCAUAAUAUUAAUAUAUGUUUAUGACCUCGAUGUUGGACUAGGUAAAUUUAUAGCUAGAAGUUAUAAAUACUUGUUCUGUUCGAACAUCUAAC